rnacentral:misc_RNA from 1 species
GAUGAAGAACGUAGCGAAAUGCGAUAAGUAAUGUGAAUUGCAGAAUUCAGUGAAUCAUCGAAUCUUUGAACGCACAUUGCGCCCGCCAGUAUUCUGGCGGGCAUGCCUGUUCGAGCGUCAUUUCAACCAUCAAGCCCCGGGCUUGUGUUGGGGACCUGCGGCUGCCGCAGGCCCCGAAAUGCAGUGGCGGGCUCGCUGUCACUCCGAGCGUAGUAGUUACAUCUCGCUCUGGGCGUGCUGCGGGUUCCGGCCGUUAAAAGCCUUAUUUACCCAAGGUUGACCUCGGAUCAGGUAGGAAGACCCGCUGAACUUAAGCAUAUCAAUAAGCGGAGGA